GAUGAACGCUAGCGACAGGCUUAACACAUGCAAGUCGAGGGGCAGCACAGGUAGCAAUACCGGGUGGCGACCGGCGCACGGGUGAGUAACGCGUAUGCAACUUACCUAUCAGAGGGGGAUAACCCGGCGAAAGUCGGACUAAUACCGCAUGAAGCAGGGGUCCCGCAUGGGGAUAUUUGCUAAAGAUUCAUCGCUGAUAGAUAGGCAUGCGUUCCAUUAGGCAGUUGGCGGGGUAACGGCCCACCAAACCGACGAUGGAUAGGGGUUCUGAGAGGAAGGUCCCCCACAUUGGUACUGAGACACGGACCAAACUCCUACGGGAGGCAGCAGUGAGGAAUAUUGGUCAAUGGCCGAGAGGCUGAACCAGCCAAGUCGCGUGAGGGAUGAAGGUUCUAUGGAUCGUAAACCUCUUUUAUAAGGGAAUAAAGUGCGGGACGUGUCCCGUUUUGUAUGUACCUUAUGAAUAAGAAUCGGCUAACUCCGUG
rnacentral:rRNA from 1 species